rnacentral:rRNA from 1 species
CAGUUCGGAUUGCAGGCUGCAACCCGCCUGUAUGAAGUUGGAAUCGCUAGUAAUCGCGGAUCAGCAUGCCGCGGUGAAUACGUUCCCGGGCCUUGUACACACCGCCCGUCACACCAUGAGAGUCGGGAACACCCGAAGUCCGUAGUCUAACCGCAAGGGGGACGCGGCCGAAGGUGGGUUCGAUAAUUGGGGUGAAGUCGUAACAAGGUACC